GUGGCUAUGCCUCAGUCGGCCACAAUGAACCUCGAGUUGCUGCCCUCCAGCCGACACUGCAAGCUCAAGCUCACCACCGCCACCAGCAAAACCCUCUGGAUUGAGCUCAUUCUCGGCAUACAGCAAGACUCGCAAACGUACCUGACCUUUGAGUAGGCAGGGGCUGUUGUUACCAGCAGCACGAGGUGGCCGCAGAGACCCAUUUCUUCAGGAAGCAGCCACUACAGCAGCUUACAUCUGAGGGAUUUAAAAAGAAACUGCUUACUUAAGGCAGUGGUUGCAGUACAGCAAGACCAUAAAGACCCCUUUCUGAGCAGCCAGGAGACACAGACAGCUACACCCAUAUCCUAGUUGGCCACUGACAUUUCUACAUAUGCCACGGGAAUCCAGCCUUUUAGAUGCCUGGCCCACAAGGGGUGAAGAGGAAUUGUCUUCAGCCACACAGAAAACAUAGUUAACGUAAAUCAGUACAAACCAUUAUUUCAUCCAUGCAUAUGUUUUAUUAAAAUGUAAUAAACAUUAAAAACCCAACAACAACAAAAAAAAACAAAACAGUGGUAUGUGUGACCUUCUUUUGGUGAAACUAAUGCACCAGCUUCUGGAUCAACAGCAGUGGUGCAAUUCUUAGUUCCCAAGGGGUUUGGCAGAGAUCGAACAAAACGAGUUUGCUCACUCCAGAGUCCUCUGAAUUGGGCUCUUUCUUGGGAUACAGCAAGACUCACAUACGUUCCUGACCUUUGAGUAGGCAGGGGCUGUCAUUAUCAGCGGCACGAUUCAGCUGCAGAGACGCGCUGCUGCAGAGAUGCACUCCUUCACAAAACAGCCAGGCAGGCUGGGCACAACAGAGUCCAUCGCAAACAUCUGCAGCUCCGCAUCCCUGUCCUGGAAGGUGGCUACAAAACGAGUGAUGCCCUACUUGCCACCUGCCGCAGAGCUGAGCAGGCUGAACAUGGAGAAAACACUGCUCAGCAAGCAGGUGGAAGCUCGCUCCAAAGGAAAACCACACCCCAUGCAGUUGAAGAGGCCACUGCAUGGAUGCUUGAAGCAGAGACUCUCGUUUACAGCUGGGCAGGGACCAGCCCGCCUCUCCGUGAGGGUCCAUUUGUUCUGCAAGCCUCGGCCUCUACAAACGUGGGAGAAACGCUCUGUCCCUGAGUGUCCUGCUCAAGGAGAUGCCCCCAGAGCCAGCUCCCAGUGCUGUGGUGAGACGGCUUUAGAAUCACAGAAGUACCAAGGCUGGAAAAGACCUCAAGAUCAUCCAGUCCAACCAUCCACUAUCACCACUAUUUCCCACUAUUCCCGCAGAAACCCGGAUAAUUCUCCCCGUCAUUCACUACACCUCUGGCAAAGGACAUACCAUGCUGUGACACAAGUUCCCAGGGGAGCUGAGCCCUUCACUGACUCUCCUUACCCAGUCCCGCCCUUGGUGAAGCCUCUCUGCAACUCAUUCUCCUGCACGCCCGAUCCAAACGCACACUCCAAACUAUUCAUUUUCAGCAUACACAGCAAUGCAGGAACAGCGACUGAGUCCCUGAUUGCUGACGAAAAGAGGACUACAAUGAAGCUCUGCCUCCGUCUCAGCAGGAAGAAGCACCACAGCAGCAGCCCUCAGUGGGAUGCAGAUUUCAGAGCUAGCACUCCCUGAUGCCAGGGCUGGCUGUCCCAUACCUCAGGCACUGCCCAGCAGGCCACAGGAGGGAGGCUGCACCCCAAAUGUGCUCCACUGGAAAAAUCCAAAUUGCUUUGCAACCACAUCAGCAACACACGUGUAGGACCACGACGCAGCCAGUGCCUGUACAACACCUGCAAGCAGAAGCAGGGCACAUGGAGAGCACCCAGACCCGCUCAGCCUGCCCUCAGCUCCUCCUCCCAUCCUCUUACUGAAGGCUCCGCCGCCUGUGUGAGAUACGUUGAACCACUGGAGUUUGAGUGAAUUACAACUUGCUGAUUUUUGGCCUUGUGUCAGAUGGAUAAAUGUAACAAGCUGCAAACAGGUUUAGGCGGGUAAGGUUUUUACAAACUCUACACAGGAUCAAAGGCUGCUGACCUCUGUUACCAGCUUGCUGUUUCCCAGCAGCUCUGUCCCUUAAUUAGCAGGCACUGUUCUAAUGGAAUGUUCAUGAUACAUUUCACAACACAGCCUUUUCGGCAUUACAGAUUUUUACUUUUCAAUUCUCUAACAAUUCUGACUUGCAUUAGGAAAAAAUAAAACAACUGAGAAGAGUAGAAAUGUGAAAUGU
rnacentral:lncRNA from 1 species